GGGGGGGGGGGGCGGCGGGGGGGGGGCGGGCGGGGCGGGCGGAGGGGCGCGGCGGGGGGGGGGGGCUCGGGGGGCGGACGGGGGAGUGACACGGGGGUAACCUGCCCUUGACUUUGGGAGAACUUCAGGAAACUGGGGCGAAUACCGGAUAGGAGCUCCUGCUGCAUGGUGGGGGUUGGAAAGUUUCGGCGGUUGGGGAUGGACUCGCGGCUUAUCAGCUUGUUGGUGGGGUAGUGGCUUACCAAGGCUUUGACGGGUAGCCGGCCUGAGAGGGUGACCGGCCACAUUGGGACUGAGAUACGGCCCAGACUCCUACGGGAGGCAGCAGUGGGGAAUAUUGCACAAUGGGCGGAAGCCUGAUGCAGCAACGCCGCGUGCGGGAUGACGGCCUUCGGGUUGUAAACCGCUUUCGCCUGUGACGAAGCGUGAGUGACGGUAAUGGGUAAAGAAGCACCGGCUAACUACGUG
rnacentral:rRNA from 1 species